CCUACGGGAGGCAGCAGUGGGGAAUUUUCCGCAAUGGGCGAAAGCCUGACGGAGCAACGCCGCGUGAGGGAUGAAGGCCUCUGGGCUGUAAACCUCUUUUAUCAAGGAAGAAGAUCUGACGGUACUUGAUGAAUAAGCCACGGCUAAUUCCGUGCCAGCAGCCGCGGUAAUACGGGAGUGGCAAGCGUUAUCCGGAAUUAUUGGGCGUAAAGCGUCCGCAGGCGGUCUUGUAAGUCUGUCGUUAAAGCGUGGAGCUUAACUCCAUUUAAGCGAUGGAAACUGCAAGACUAGAGUGUGGUAGGGGCAGAGGGAAUUCCCGGUGUAGCGGUGAAAUGCGUAGAUAUCGGGAAGAACGCCAGUGGCGAAGGCGCUCUGCUGGGCCAUAACUGACGCUCAUGGACGAAAGCCAGGGGAGCGAAAGGGAUUAGAUACCCCUGUAGUCCUGGCCGUAAACGAUGAACACUAGGUGUCGGGGGAAUCGACCCCCUCGGUGUCGUAGCCAACGCGUUAAGUGUUCCGCCUGGGGAGUACGCACGCAAGUGUGAAACUCAAAGGAAUUGACGG
rnacentral:rRNA from 1 species